UGGGGAAUUUUGCACAAUGGGGGAAACCCUGAUGCAGCGACGCCGCGUGAUUUAGAAGGCCUUCGGGUUGUAAAAAUCUUUUCUAUGGGAAGAAAAUGACAGUACCAUAGGAAUAAGGACCGGCUAAUUACGUGCCAGCAGCCGCGGCAAUACGUAAGGUCCGAGCGUUGUCCGGAAUCAUUGGGCGUAAAGGGUACGUAGGCGGGUAAGCAAGUUAGAAGUGAAAUCCUAUAGCUCAACUAUAGUAAGCUUUUAAAACUGCUCAUCUUGAGGUAUGGAAGGGAAAGUGGAAUUCCUAGUGUAGCGAUGAAAUGCGCAGAUAUUAGGAGGAAUACCGGUGGCGAAGGCGACUUUCUGGCCAUAACCUGACGCUGAGGUACGAAAGCGUGGGUAGCAAACAGG
rnacentral:rRNA from 1 species